AUGCGCGCCGGGCCGACGGGGUGGAGGCUCAGCAACGGGGGAGUGCCCAUUGCCCCGCUACCUGACGUUGUGGCGCGCGCCCCCUACUUCGCCAUUGAGGUAGAGCUCGUGCGUGCCUCCCUCACUGACGAGCAGCUCGCCCUUCCCCAGUACGCCACCGACAACCACGCGACAUGGGCGGCAUACUUUGAGCACCGUCAGGAGCAGAGGCUGGCGUCCACCAACGAGGCGCGGGUGGUGGGUGGCACGAAGAACAGCGAGGGGCGCCGUGUGUGGUGGGGCGUCCCCGGCCGCACGCUCGAGGGCGUGCUGACGUACCUUGAGGGCGGCAACAACCCGCCACUGGCAUACCCUCCCCCGGUGGCUGCCCCCGCCCACCGCCGACGCGCCAGGCAAUGGAUGCCCAGGAGGUUUGGCUCCUCCUCGACGUCCUCCUCGCACUCCUCCUCACGCUCUCCUUCCCACUCCUCCGGCUCUCCGGCGCUGCUCGGCAUCAAGGCCGAGCCCACGGCGGAGACGCCGCUCGACCAGCGCACUCGCAGCGCCGACAUCGUCAUCAACAAGGGCGGCUGGUGCGCCUCCUCACCGGCUCCUCCGCGCUUCAUCAAGCCAAAGACGGAGCCGGGGCUCGCGCCGGUGAAAACGGAGCCGGGGCUCCCCGCCGUGAAGACAAAGCACGACGACGUGGAGCUCGACGACGAGGCGGCCCUGAAAUGGGCACGCGAGGACUUCCUGAAGAUGGAGAGGGAGCACCAGUGCGCCGCCCUGCGACGCUUCGAGCAGCGACACCGGGGCCGCGAUGAAGGAGGAGUCGUCGUCCUAGACGACAACGACGACGAUGCGCCACCGCCGCCGCCACCAGUCCGCCAUGGCGGCGCCAGGCAGGGGUCCAGCAGGGACGGCCGCGUCAAGGAGGAGAAGGCCGACGACGGCGGCGGCGGCGAGGAUGGCGGCGACGAUGGCGACUACUCG
rnacentral:rRNA from 1 species